CUUGCCUCCUACGGGGCGCAGCAGUAGGGAAUCUUCCACAAUGGGCGAAAGCCUGAUGGAGCAACGCCGCGUGGGUGAAGAAGGUCUUCGGAGCGUAAAACCCUGUUGUUAGAGAAGAAAGUGCGUGUGAGUAACUGUUCACGUUUCGACGGUAUCUAACCAGAAAGCCACGGCUAACUACGUGCCAGCAGCCGCGGUAAUACGUAGGUGGCAAGCGUUAUCCGGAUUUAUUGGGCGUAAAGGGAACGCAGGCGGUCUUUUAAGUCUGAUGUGAAAGCCUUCGGCUUAACCGGAGUAGUGCAUUG
rnacentral:rRNA from 1 species